CAGUCGCCACGGUAAUACAGAGGGUGCGAGCGUUAAUCGGAUUUACUGGGCGUAAAGCGUGCGUAGGCGGCUUUUUAAGUCGGAUGUGAAAUCCCUGAGCUUAACUUAGGAAUUGCAUUCGAUACUGGGAAGCUAGAGUAUGGGAGAGGAUGGUAGAAUUCCGGGUGUAGCGGUGAAAUGCGUAGAGAUCUGGAGGAAUACCGAUGGCGAAGGCAGCCAUCUGGCCUAAUACUGACGCUGAGGUACGAAAGCAUGGGGAGCAAACAGGAUUAGAUACCCGCGUAGUCCCUGUCUCUUAUAC
rnacentral:rRNA from 1 species